UCCCUGAACUCAUGGGGGAAGCGUUCAUAAACUUAGAGGGGGGGGGAAAAGAGCUCUCGGUGGUGUUUACUGUGUGCAUUAAAGCUUUCCAGUUGUUAAGAACUGGCUGUAUCUGCACCAGAGCUAUCUGCUAAUAACCAGAAGCACCCAGACUAUUGUAAAAAUGGUGAGUUCCUGCAAAAUAAGUCCCCAUGUGCAGGCCAGGCAGGACACAUCUAUUUGCAACACCAAGGAGAGCUGCUGCUUUUGUUAUAGUGCUAGGAAAAACUUGUCAGAAUCCAUGGCAAAAUGGAAAUGAAGAUUUUUAAUUUCUUUUUUUAAGGGUGUCUUAAUUGAAAAACAAAGCCAUGUUUUUUUAGCAGCACUGCCCACCGAUUCCAAAAGGAGAUGGGAUGGGUUGUUCUCAUGUGCAGGGAGGAUUAAAUUCCUGAAUCCAGCGCUGCCUCCUCCAAAGCCCUUGUACCUGUGGGAUCUGGAGGAGCCCAAGAGCAGUACAGUAUUUUAUACAGCUCUUCUUUUUGGUGAAGUACUCUGCAUCGCUGGUCCUGAUCCGCACUCCUGCUAUCGCAAAGGUCAUAGCGGUAACGAGCAGGGAAAUACACCUGAAAAAAUGGCUUUAAUGCAACACUCCAGCAGCAGCGGCGGCUUGCUAUUAGAGCCAAGUUGUCUGGUUAUCUUCACACAGCCUGCUGCAGAAAUAGGGGAAAACCCCCAUUCUCUAAUGGUAGCUGAAAACGAUGAAGUAUCUACAUGUGAUUUCACUGUGCUCUUAGUUCAAAAGAGAGGGGAUGGAAAAGGUCCUUUCAUCAGUAACUGCAGCAGAUGGAAGGGUAAAAGCCCAAAGGACAUGAAAAGAGUGAUUUUGAAUUAAAUUGGAUGGCAGCCACAUAUCCCGCAAGCACUCAGCACCCACGCUACAUGCGAGGGAAGAAGUCCCCACAGAAACCUUGUGCAACGGAGAAGGAAUUUCCCCGGCGUCAGCUUGGCCUUGCUCUCCAGCUGCUUUUCUCUUGCGCAAGACGUGGAACACAACAGGAACGCGUGUGUUUGUUUUUGGGAGCCUCCUGAGAGCCGAAGCGGAGCCAAGCGAGAGACGCAGCUCCUCCGGAUACGCAAGCUGCCAAGUUCAUCUCCUCUCCCUGGUGGGACCGUCCCCAUCCCACCCCCACGGGCUGCAGGUACUGACUCACCGACCACCCUCUGCUGACAAUUAUGGUCUGUUUUCAUCUGGGUUUUAUGCUUCCGAGACUCAGGUGUGAAGACACGAGCCUAAAAGUUGCCUUAAAAUAAACAUUUAAAUCUUCCAGGAGACAUGACGGGUCUUUUGUAGAAUGUGCUUUUUUGACCAAUACAAAGGUAAAGUUUCACUGCAACUCCAAGGUGGCAGAGGCAGUUUUGAUAACACAAAUUAAACCUGCAGGAAGGGCUUUUCCUAAUGGAACAACCUCCUUCCCAUAGGAAUUGAAUAAAUAUUUACUUUGUAUUAUCAGAUGCUCAGGUGGAAUGGGGGUAAAGGAGGCUUUGUCCCCCCUUUGCCCUGCCAGGGCAGCGCUUUGGGUUGGUGAUGUUGAAAGGACUCUAAUUUUUCUUCCAUCCACCUCCCCCGUCCCUUCCAGUCAACAAGUGCCUCCAAAUUGUGCAAUAUUUUCCUGCAAAGGGACAUCAAACUGACUCUUGAACCCUCAAGUCUUCAGGGGACAGAAAACAGUGUUUACCCCACCGAUUGCAGAGCAGCACGCCAAGAUUUGGGCUCAGAUUCUGUUCCUAUUUGGACCUUUUUGCCUUAAGUCAAAAUGGGGCUUUGUAUUUUUACAAACUGAACUGUUACAUAUCCCCUUCUGGUGAAGGGCAGCAGGUGUCAGCACAGCAAUAAGGACAAAUAUUUUGUUGAGGUCCCACGAGGAAAUUCUCUAUUCAAAUUAAAAGUACAAACCUGAUGCUGAGAACACUGAGCCAGCAGUAACGGUUUAGAUUGAGGAAUAACAGCUGAUAUGGUUUCCCAGGUAUCUUCCAAUACACACAAAUACUAAAUGCCCUUGUCAAGCGAGUUUAAGAGAUACAGCAGUGCUCUGCUUGCCAUAAAAAUAACUGUGAAAAUAGGAGCUGGCAAGUCUCUUACCAGACCUAACACUGAUUUGUUUUGUUGUAUUUGUUUAAGUAAUCAUGGUAAUGACAAAAUCGGACUUUCUUUUUUUGCUAAACAUCUAUUGUUUUCCAUGGUAUCCGCAUCAUGAAGGAAGGAACAAAUACGUGCUUCAUUUAUGAUGUUAUUCUGCUGAAAUGCUGUUUAUAUUUUUACAGCAAACAAGAGUGCUGGUGGGUCACGGCCUUUUUUCUGCUACAGAGAGCAGGUUCCUCUGCGGGGUUAAACCUUAGAGUAGCUCAGUCACAGCCGUAAGUGCCACAGCCUCUACUAUCACUAGUAAAGACCAGGAACCAUCAAAGGUGACAAAGACGGGCUGUUCCUGGCCAGUGCUGCUGCAAAUCCAACAUAAAAUCCAGCCCCAGAAAGCCUGGAGCUUUACUAAUCCACCCCAGAGCCAGAUCCCUAUUUACUAAGCUCUCCAUAAACACAAACCAACCAAGGCAAAGCUCUUUUUUUAUCCAACGAACUGACAGCCAGAGAGAGCAGAUGGGAGAGCACUGGGGAACAAGGAGCCAACGCCGGCCCCAGCGCUGCCAAGGACGUGGCGGCAACGGGGGGUUCGGCGAGUGAAACAGGACAGGAGCUGCUACAGCUGAACCACGAUUCAGCAAUAAAAUCGUAUUCAACUGGGAUGUUUUCAAGAUUUUCAGUUUCUGACUGAAAAUUAUUCAGUAAAAACGACUUGCUUGCCAGGCAGCGAGACCCGAGUGAUUCCUGGCCCAGCGCUGCCAACUGUUCUCUUGUCAAACUUGACUCAAAAAGCGACGCUCGGCCAGUAGUAACCAGUCAGGAUUCAAACUGGCACCAGUGCCACUGGUUUACCAGUGUAGUCCAAAACCUGUAUUGAAGUGAACAGGAAAUACUAAUGGUAUGAUUCAGAAAAAAAUGAGGCUCUUCAGAAAAGAGAAGGAAAGGUCAAUAGGGAUGCUAAAAAAGAGCAGUAAUUUCAUCAAAGGAUUAUCCUUCAUAGAGGAUUUUCUCUUUUACAAGGUUGAAAAACUUACGGUUUUGCUUAAGCCCAAAGCAGCCCAGAGCUGGAGAACUGUCUGUGCUGCACGAGGAGGCUCUUCCAGGCCCCCCCUUCCAAUGCAGCAAAGUAAUUAAGCUCAUCAUCUUCCCCCUUUAAUAGUAUAUUUUAAUUCACAGCAUUGGCACUGGUUUAACAACUUUAUCUCUCAUUG